rnacentral:rRNA from 1 species
ACGCUGGCGGCGUGCCUAAUACAUGCAAGUAGAACGCUGAAGGAGGAGCUUGCUCUUCUGGAUGAGUUGCGAACGGGUGAGUAACGCGUAGGUAACCUGCCUGGUAGCGGGGGAUAACUAUUGGAAACGAUAGCUAAUACCGCAUAACAGCAAAUGUUGCAUGACAUUUGCUUAAAAGAUGCAAUUGCAUCACUACCAGAUGGACCUGCGUUGUAUUAGCUAGUUGGUGGGGUAGCGGCUCACCAAGGCGACGAUACAUUGCCGACCUGAGUGGGUGAUCGGCCACACUGGGACUGAGACACGGCCCAGACUCCUACGGGAGGCAGCAGUAGGGAAUCUUCGGCAAUGGACGGAAGUCUGACCGAGCAACGCCGCGUGAGUGAAGAAGGUUUUCGGAUCGUAAAGCUCUGUUGUAAGAGAAGAACGAGUGUGAGAGUGGAAAGUUCACACUGUGACGGUAUCUUACCAGAAAGGGACGGCUAACUACGUGCCAGCAGCCGCGGUAAUACGUAGGUCCCGAGCGUUGUCCGGAUUUAUUGGGCGUAAAGCGAGCGCAGGCGGUUAGAUAAGUCUGAAGUUAAAGGCUGUGGCUUAACCAUAGUACGCUUUGGAAACUGUUUAACUUGAGUGCAAGAGGGGAGAGAGGAAUUCCAUGUGUAGCGGUGAAAUGCGUAGAUAUAUGGAGGAACACCGGUGGCGAAAGCGGCUCUCUGGCUUGUAACUGACGCUGAGGCUCGAAAGCGUGGGGAGCAAACAGGAUUAGAUACCCUGGUAGUCCACGCCGUAAACGAUGAGUGCUAGGUGUUAGACCCUUUCCGGGGUUUAGUGCCGUAGCUAACGCAUUAAGCACUCCGCCUGGGGAGUACGACCGCAAGGUUGAAACUCAAAGGAAUUGACGGGGGGCCCGC